rnacentral:rRNA from 1 species
UACGUAGGGGCAAGCGUUGUCCGGAUUUAUUGGGCGUAAAGAGCGUGUAGGCGGCCAGGUAGGUCAGCUGUGAAAACUCGAGGCUCAACCUCGAGACGCCGGUUGAAACCAUCUGGCUAGAGUCCGGAAGAGGAGAGUGGAAUUCCUGGUGUAGCGGUGAAAUGCGCAGAUAUCAGGAAGAACACCCGUGGCUAAGGCGGCUCUCUAGUACGGUACUGACGCUGAGACGCGAAAGCGUGGGGAGCGAGCAGG